CUCCUCAAAUGGCGGAAUCUCGACUGCAUAAUUUGUGGUAGUGGGGGACUGCGUUCGCGCUCUCCCCUG
ensembl:snRNA U1 U1 spliceosomal RNA